AGGGGCCUGGGCCUGGACAACAUGGCCGCCCCCAGGGUUAGAGCCGCUUGUCCUCCAGCCGCCUGGUCUCUCUUGAUGAGGAUUUAACCUCUGGUCAUUAGGUCCUGCCUGCUACCUUUGUUUCAGGUUAGCUCAAUCCCAGGCCUAACCAGCGUUUUCCUGGAGCCCACCCCAGGGCCAGGCCCUCUCAGCUAGAACAUCUCUCUCAGCCUUACCUCCCGGGUGGAGCUCUCCACAAAUGGCCCCCCAAACAUGGCAGCCAUCCAGUCACAGCUGGAAAUCAACAGGGGCUUGUGGGCGCUGAUGGUGCCAUCAUCCAGGAUGAAGGUCACAUCUGUCCAGAAGAAGCAUCACAGGAGGACUGGUGAAAGAAGCUGGGAGAACAAGCCCCAAGGGGAGCCACGGAGCCUCCUCCUGAACCCAGAAGAUUCGGGGCACGGAACAAACCCGCUCCCAGCUGGGGAAAACCAGGCUUCAAGAGCAUGGCAGCCGCAGCUCCAGGACACCAGGAGCUGAGACAGACAGGCAAUGCUAAUAGCACCAAUGCAGAACCCCCUUGCUUUCCAAGCCUGUUCCAUACCUGAGAAGGUGCCUUUUGCCAAGCACUCCUUAACCCGGUUGGUCCGGCGGACGUGGAAGGCCUUGGUGAUCUCCUGGUUCAUGAAGGCCUCAUUGUUGAGAAUGUUGGCCACCAUCAUGCGCAGAUCAAAGACCUCGAGCAGCUCAGCAAUGUGGGCAAUGUGCAUGAGGUCACGCUCGUUCUCAUCUAGCUCCCCCGUGUACAGGUACUUGAGGACAGCCCGGAAGGGCCCCGGCUGGAUGGAACUGUCCAUCUUCACCACCACCAUCAGCCGGGAUUUGUAGGUGAGAGGAUCUUCUGCCAUCUCUUCCUGGAUGCUCACAAAAGCUCGGCUCCAGGAAGACAGCACACGACCCCUGCCCGGUAGGUACCCUGUUCCGUUGCCCCGUAAGAUCCCGUCGCUGGUGGAAGCACGGAGGCCAGCAGGACCGGAGCCCCCAGCCUCAUCCACGCUCUCGCACACGUCAAAGCUGGCUGCUCGGAGCAGGAAGUCUCGCCCAUGGUGGUGGUGGUGAUGGUGGUGGUGUUGAUCAGAGUGGCCCUGGUGGUCCUCUGGGUGGGUGCCCCCUGGCUCCGAGGGGCCCCCCAGCUCCCCCUCACUCAGGUCCAUGAGGAACAGGUCAUAGAACUUGGAGGAAGAGGUGGAGAGGUAGAUCUUGUGGGCAAAGAUGCGCACCCGCUCCUGCAGCACCAGGAUGACGUCCGCGCAGAGCGGGUCCUCCAGGAGGUGGGCGGGGCACUCCUCGCUGCUGGAGGGAGGGUCGGGCACCACGAUGAUCGGGGGCGGUGGCUUGGGGGGUAGGAAGGGUGCCUGCAGCAGAGGCCGCUGCACAUUGCGGAGGUGGGACUUCCAGAACUGCAGGUGGCGGCGGGAGAUGAGUGCAGCUCGGAUGGCGUUGUCAAAGACGUCCUUGAUGCCGAACUGGGCCACCACGCUGGUCUCAUAGUAGGGGAUGCCCAGCUCCUUGGCCACCUCCCGACCCUUCUCUGGGGGCAGGAUUUCAUUAGGUUUGAUGGGCCUGGUAGGUUCAAGAAGGAAACCAAGCUUGUGUUGGUGGUGGAGGGAGGCUGCCUGUUCUUCCACAGGCUGGAGGGACUCUGCUCAGGAUCUGGGUGCCAAUCCCCACCCACUCCUGCCCUGCUCUGUCUGGCCAAAUCCCAUCAAGCUCCUUCAAGGUCCACUCCAAGCCCUUUUUCUUCCAGAAAGCUUUCCCUACUAUGCCAGGCCCCAGUGACCUCCCCAGUACAAAGCCGUGACAGCACUGCCUCUCUGGCAAUUAGCAGGCAAUGCUUCACAUGGGUAUUUAACAUGCUCACAUAUUUAGUUUAUCCCUCAGCAAAAUUAUAGGACUUUUUCAUGCAAAUGAUGGAAUCUUACUCUGUUGCCCAGGUUGGAGUGCAGUGAGUGCAAUGGCUCACUGCAAUCUCUGCCUCCCAGGUUCAAGUGAUUCUCCUGCCUCAGCCUCCUGAGUAGCUGGGAUUACAGGCAUGCACCAUGAUGCCCGGCUAAUUUUUGUAUUUUUAGUAGAGACAGGGUUUCGCCAUGUUGGCCAGGCUGGUCUCGAACUCCUGACCUCAGGUGAUCUGCCCACCUUGGUCUCACCAAAGUACUGUGCUGGGAUUCCAGGCAUGAGCCACCACGGUCGGCCAGAAACACCUUUAAAAAGACAAUACUACAUCAUGAUCAG
rnacentral:lncRNA from 1 species